CAUGCAAGUCGUACGAGAGUCUUUGACUCAAGUGGCGGACGGGUGAGUAACACGUAAGAAUUUGCCUUUAGGAGGGGGACAACAACUGGGAACGGUUGCUAAUACCCCAUAUGCUUUCGAGUGAAAUGGAUUUUUCCGCCUAGAGAGAAGCUUGCGGCUGAUUAGCUUGUUGGUGAGGUAAUGGCUCACCAAGGCGACGAUCAGUAUCUGGUUUGAGAGGACGAUCAGACACACUGGAACUGAGACACGGUCCAGACCCCUACGGGAGGCAGCAGUGGGGAAUUUUCCGCAAUGGGCGAAAGCCUGACGGAGCAAUCUCGCGUGAGGGAUGACUGCCUAUGGGUUGUAAACCUCUUUUUUCAGGGAGGAAUAAAUGACGUGUACCUGAAGAAUAAGCAUCGGCUAACUCCGUGCCAGCAGCCGCGGUAAUACGGAGGAUGCAAGUGUUAUCCGGAAUCACUGGGCGUAAAGCGUCUGUAGGUGGUUUAAUAAGUCAACUGUUAAAUCUUGAGGCUCAACUUCAAAAUCGCAGUCGAAACUAUUAGACUAGAGUAUAGUAGGGGUAAAGGGAAUUUCCAGUGGAGCGGUGAAAUGCGUAGAGAUUGGAAAGAACACCGAUGGCGAAGGCACUUUACUGGGCUAUUACUAACA
rnacentral:rRNA from 1 species